CCGCAGUUUGGAGAGGAGCAGCAGCCAUAAGACCAUAUUCUUCAUUACGAAAAGAAAAAAACCUUAGACAACAAUGGACAAGACCUAGUCAUUUUGGGAGAGUUCAGCCAUUUGGACAAAAAAUCAGGAGACCUUCUUCUCCAAUUAAGGUCUUCUUCAACCCUUGAGCACAAGAAUACAGACCCUCCCCACCUUCAGACUUGAUUUUCUUUGCAUUUUCAAUUGGAAAACAAACACACACCACACCAAAACCAGCCUCUCGGCACUCCAGUCGUCUUCUCGACCCUCACUCACCAAGAGAAAUGCUGCUCCACCAUCUCCGAUCAUCUCAAACACCAUAGCUGAACCAAAACACACGAUCCGACCACCCGAGCUCGCCGCAAACCAGCACCAAAGCCCGUCAAGUAAGCUCUAGAAAACUCAGUUGAAACGCAAUAGAUUUCAGCUCCAAAAAUCGCCAAAACCAGUCAAAACGCAACUGAAGCCUUUUCUGAAACGCUCUCGAAUCGCAGCUAAAAUCUACUGUAACAACGCCCAAAACGCCACCACAGAUUCGAGUCGAGUUGACGAGCUGUCCGGUUGCAAAUUUGAGGUCCCGCCGGGUCUUGCUCGAGUUUCUGUUGCAAUUUAUUCGAUCCGAUAUCAAGAGCCUCCUAGUUCUGUUUUGCUGUUGGGUACUGCUCGAAGGAAAAUUUUAAACGAAAAGCAAUUGAGGUCCGAUUCAUUAACUCUUUGUUCUUUCUGACGUCUUCUAAACUUUAAGUGUUGUUUGUGGCAAGAUGAUUUCAAUUGUUUGUGUUCUUGACUAUUGUUUGUGCUAUUUAGUUAUAUUCUGUUGGACAAUUCUUUCCUCGGGCGAGACCUCGGAAUUCGAUUUCGAGCAUAUGCCCAAGUCCCAUAUUUUUCCACGGACCUUCUGAGAUCGUCAAAUCAUGGGUCCGGGUCCGUUUACCAAAAAUGUUAAUCGAACUCAACUUUAUCAAUAUUAAUAUUAAAAUUCUUCAAAAUUUUCACAUAAUUCAUAUAUUUCAACAUAAAAAUUUUCCGGCUUCGCGCUCGCAUUGUGCAUGCAAAACAAGGCAACUAAUAGUGGGGUUUUCAAGGCCUCUAAAGCUCGAAAUGACUAAUAAAACAAGUGAUAACCCUUUGGGUCGUCAAAUUCUCCACCUCUAAUGCAAUCAUUCGUCCUCGAACGGGCAAAAUAAAGAAGCACAUGAGUCAGGGAAUAGAUAAGGAUAAUGUCCCCGCAUGCAUUCUCCACCUCUAAUACAAUGGUUCGUCCUCUUUUAAUAGAUGAAUUUGGACUUCAUUUGUGAUGCCUUCAUAGAGAUAUAGGUUUCAAAGGCUUUAGUAUUGAUAUAAUCUGACACUAGGAGAAUCAAAUCAAUUGGUUUAAUGGGUUCAGUCACAGGUUCGAGUAUUAAAAUAAGUACUGUUGGGGUUGGGAUUUGGCAAAUUCAAUAAAACUUGAAUAUUAGAAAAACAUGGAUCCAUAAUUCAUAUAUGGAUUGGGUUUGGAUAAAGUAUUAUAUUUUAUUUUUACUAUUGCAUUAUUUUUGUUUGUUACUUCAUUUCGCUUAUGUAUGGUUUAAAGUCGCCAGUAGCAUGUUUUAGGCCGAUCACACUUGGGUAGACAAAUAUUAGGAUUUUGUUAGCUUUGAGGUGAGAGGUUAUUCCCUUAGUUAAAUUUAUCCGGGGAAUGCCCCGAAUGAUUUGUAUAUAUUUUUAUUCAGGAAAUACCCCGUUGUACUUAUAUUUGGAGGUCAAAAGUAGAGCUUGUAGGAUUUUUAUUUUCAUUUUUCUUUUUCUUUUAUUUAGGCUGGGACGACCUCGAGCCUCUUGUAUGUUCAUUUUUUUGUGUUUUUGCCUCAAUCGAAUAUUUUAAUAGCCAACUUGAUCAUGUACGCAACCGUACUUGUUACGGGACUCGGUAAAUGCAUAACACCUUCUCCCGAGUCAAAUGAACCCCCUUACCUGAAUCUCUGGUGCGGAUUUGGUUUUAGAGUCUGAAAUCUUUUAAUAGGAAAAAUUAUUUAACAAAAAAAACGAUGACCUGAUACACCGAAAUCAAAUAUCAGGUGGCGACUCUAAAUAUUUCCUUUUGACCACCCCACUUUUGUCACUUCCAAAAUUAAAAACCCUUUCCACGCCUUGUUAAAUCUUUUUAUUUAUUUUAAGAGGAUUUAGUGAGGUUUGUUUAAAAAAAGCAGUGUGACAGUGGGUUGAGUGAUGUGAGGCCGAGUGCCGACUGAUGAUGCCACGAGGUGGCUUGAUAUAAUGCUUGGGCCGUAAGAGGCCCCUCUGGAGGCUGCACAUCCAUAGUGAGCGCAGGUAUUAUUCUGGGUGAUUGAUACUAUUUUAAGAGUGAGCUCGAGUGGCCGAUAUGAGUGAUGGUGAGGUAGCCCAAGGGGCUGAUACUGUUUUGAGAUUCAGCCCGAGGGGCUUAUACUAUACCGAGUGAUUGCAACUAUGCCCGAGUGGUGAAUUUCUACUUGUUAUUUACUGCUAUAUUGCUUUCACUUGUUGAAAAAGGAAUUUACCGAUAUUUCACUGCUUUAUUGUUUUAAGUGAUUUUACUGCUUCUGUAUUGAAUGCUUUGUGUUUUCGCAUGUUUUCUUGCUUUCAGCCAUUAUUUAUAUUUGUUACUCACUGGGUCGGAGUAAUCACAUUACUCUCUGCACCUUAUGUGCAGAUUUAGGCAUAGCACAUUUUCACUCCUGAGAGCUGAUCUUCUCAUUCC
rnacentral:lncRNA from 1 species